CACAGGCAGACUAUCUCAGCCCCUGGUGGUGCUGGACCUGGCUGAGGCUAUUUGGGCAAUAAAAUGAAGUGCAUGAGAACAUAUUUUGGAGCCAAGCAGGCUGAAUUUCAAAUUCUAAUUCUGCCACAAACUGUGUAACUCCAGGUGAAGAGGGCUCUGAAACAGCUGCGGAGGCCAGGUCCGCAGGAUGAAAGGAGCCUGGGUCCCUGAACGACUACAUGGAAGGCUGCCCACCAAGCAGGAGCACCACUUGGUAUUUACAUGGACA